UACGGAGGGUGCAAGCGUUAAUCGGAAUUACUGGGCGUAAAGCGUGCGCAGGCGGUUUGUUAAGUCCGCUGUGAAAUCCCCGAGCUCAACUUGGAAACUGCGUUGGAUACUAUCCGGCUCGAGGAAUGGAGGGGAGACUGGAAUACUUGGUGUAGCAGUGAAAUGCGUAGAUAUCAAGUGGAACACCAGUGGCGAAGGCGAGUCUCUGGACAUUUCCUGACGCUGAGGCACGAAAGCCAGGGGAGCAAACGGG
rnacentral:rRNA from 1 species